UAACGAUUUAAAUACCUGAACAAACGUGAACUAAGGAAAAUCUUGCUAUCUAGACCAAAAAAUAAUAAUAAAAGUGAUUUGAGGUGGCUAGCGUGAAGACAGCCACCCCCAUAGCACUUUAAAAAAAAAAUGAAGGAAUCGGGUCCUAACGAUUUUAAUGCCUGAACAAAGGUGAACUAACGAAUAUCUUGCUAUCUAGACCAAAAAAAAAUGCAAAAAGUGGUUUGGAGUGGCUAGCGUGAAGACAGCCACCCC